UUCCGGCUGCUUCAGCUAUUUCUGUCUCUUCCCCUCCAAACGACCUGGCGUUCCUAUGACGCUACUCAUCCAAGGUUAAAGAAGGAAACACGCAUAUAUGAACUCCACGCCAGUCUUCUGCACCGAUACUUUUCUUUCCUUUCCCUCCCUGCUUUUAAACACAGAGUUCUUCUUCUCUUCUCUUUCGUUACUCUUCAUUUCGCUUUUACUGCUUCAAUGGCCACUUUUGGUGCUGCUGCGACUUCAAAUCCAAACCCUAACAAAUCUAUUGAGGUUACACAACCUCCUAGUGACUCAGUUUCUAGUCUCAGUUUCAGUCCCAAGGCCAACUUCUUGGUUGCUACUUCCUGGGACAGCCAGGUAAGAUGUUGGGAAAUCACAAGGAGUGGAGCCACUUUAGGAAGUGUGCCAAAGGCAUCAAUAUCACACGACCAACCGGUUUUAUGCUCCUCUUGGAAGGAUGAUGGAACAACUGUCUUUUCUGGAGGGUGUGACAAACAAGUGAAGAUGUGGUCUCUACUAUCUGGUGGUCAACCAGUAACUGUUGCAAUGCAUGAUGCACCAAUCAAAGAGGUUGCAUGGAUUCCAGAGAUGAACAUGUUGGCCACAGGAAGUUGGGACAAGGCCUUGAAGUACUGGGAUUUGAGGCAGCCAAAUCCAGUGCACACUCAACAGCUUCCUGAUCGCUGUUAUGCAAUGACAGUGAGGCAUCCCUUGAUGGUUGUUGGUACUGCAGAUAGAAAUCUCAUAGUCUUUAACCUGCAACAGCCUCAGGUAAUGUUUUCUCAUGUUAUAAGAUGAUUAAAUUAUCUUUCUAAAAUGGCUUUGUGCAAUGUCUUUAAAAAAUUGGCUUGUUGUACUAGCAUAAUUUCUAGUAAUGGUUAUUUUGCCUGAUAAAUGUUCUAUACCUGUAUCUUGAUGUUCUAAACCUAAUUGUAAUUGCUGAUUAUGAAACAGUAGUUCUGAUCAUGUAGAAAAAGUGAUGAUAUAAAUUUAAAUUAGCCAUUUUUCUAUGUGGUAGAGCUACUUUGGACGUUUCUAUAUUCUUUUGACAUGGGAGGGAUUGGGAUUUAUUGAUAGCAAGUUCUCAUUGAAUAAUUUCUUGAUACCUCUUGUCCAUACAGCUCCAUUUUACCUGAUACUGCCAUUAAAUUAAUUAGACACGAACUUUUGGUUUCAAAAGGCUGAGGAUUUUAGAGUCUCAAUAUGAUACUUUGGGUAGAGAUUGUCUUGCCCAUGGUUAUUAAAGGGUCAAGGUGCACCAAGGCGCCAAGAUAUCCUGUAGCCUAGGUGCAAGCGCAUGCCCGAGCAAGGCAAGGCACAAAAAUAAAAAAGCAAUUAAAAUAAAAAUAUUCUAUCACACUUCUAGUAUAAUACUAGUCAUUAAAAAAAAAGAGAGAGACAAGGAAAUUAACGAUAACAUAAACUCUAUUUACCUAAUAGCAAUUAGCAAGUAGCA
rnacentral:misc_RNA from 1 species